CCUACGGGAGGCAGCAGUGGGGAAUAUUGGGCAAUGGGCGCAAGCCUGACCCAGCAACGCCGCGUGAAGGAAGAAGGCUUUCGGGUUGUAAACUUCUUUUAAGAGGGAAGAGCAGAAGACGGUACCUCUUGAAUAAGCCACGGCUAACUACGUGCCAGCAGCCGCGGUAAUACGUAGGUGGCAAGCGUUGUCCGGAUUUACUGGGGGUAAAGGGCGUGCAGCCGGGAAGACAAGUCAGAUGUGAAAUCCCGCGGCUUAACCGCGGAACUGCAUUUGAAACUGUUUUUCUUGAGUACCGGAGAGGUCAGCGGAAUGCCUUGUGUAGCGGUGAAAUGCGUAGAUAUAAGGAAGAACACCAGUGGCGAAGGCGGAUGACUGGACGGCAACUGACGGUGAGGCGCGAAAGCGUGGGGAGCAAACAGGAUUAGAUACCCCGGUAGUC
rnacentral:rRNA from 1 species